rnacentral:lncRNA from 1 species
CUCACAAAUCAUUUUCCUUUGAUUUUUAUAAGCCUGCAUGUGUGGUUUUGUUCCUUCUCUUAUCGCUGCUCCCAGGCUCUCUUCUCCCCCAUGAAUCACUCUGUCUUGUUUCCUACUGUCUGACUUCUUAGCCUCAACAUUUCUGCCUUCUCCCUUUGCUCUCUGCAGGAAACCAAAGCCUCAGAUUUCACUUCUAACUGAAGGCUGACAUCUUUUCAAUGCAUAUCACAGCAACCAAGAAACCUUCAGACUCUAGUUCCAUCCGCACAUGUGCUUGUCACCGGCCAUCCUCAAGGGCAUCCCAGCCUGAACAAUACUCAGAAACAACCCAGAGAGAGCAAAACUGAGCAAAGGAACUGGGGGGCAUGAGGCUCCUCAUCCCAAGCUGCACUGCACCAACUGGCAGAUUUGUCUUUGUGUCAUUUGGGGUUUUAUAGUCAUGCAAAACCUUUGUGUUUGUCUAGCUAAGUGGAAGUCCUACCACAGAGCUUUGUUGCUUUGACCCAAGGUGCCUUAUUUGUGAAGAAAAUGCUACUUUGCACUUUUAAAAAGAAAUUCUCGUAAGUGAGACUCUCAACAUUUAAUUCUUCCCGGUGCCAAAAUUUAAGACGGGAGGAGUAACACGAAGAAGGGCUAAUUGGUUUCUCUCAGGAAAAGCGGCAAGUCAGCAAAUACCAAGAUUUGAUCUUGCUAAGUCAAAUUGCAAGAGUCUGCUACUUCUCUGAAUCAUGCAUGUUGGCACUGGAAGGCCCUGGAGUUCUGGUCUCCUCAUUUUAUAAAAAAGCUGUCAAGGCCACUGAGCUAUUAGUGGCAGAGCCUUUGUAUAGAGCUCCAGGUUCUAACUCCUUGGGCCUCCCUCUUUGCAUCCACUCCUACUUUCUCAUUUUGAAAAUCAAGGAGACAUAACUUUCCUAUGUUCAUAUAUGAAUACACAGCCAAUGAAACUCCGCAUCAUGUACAGCCACAAGAAUGGGAAGUUAUACUCCCUGUAUGUAUGAUAUGUCAAAAUACACCCUACUGUCAUGUAUAUCUAAGAACAAAUAAAAACUUUUUUAAAAAAAGAAGAAGAUAAGGAAUACCUGGUGAAAACUUUCCAGAAUUAGAAAACUUCCCUCCGGAAGCUGCACAUAGUUUGACCCUAUGGAUGGGAGUCUGAGCCAAGGAGAAUGAGAGAGAUGAAGAGUGAGGUGACAGCCGGAGCUCAAAACCUUGACCCCAAAGCUGGGAGACUGGGGGUGUUCUGGAGUGGA